AGCUUCACCAGGGACUCUACGGGGUUCAAUGUUUCGCUGCUGCCUCCGUCUCUGUUGUCUCCGCACGCCAACCUGCAGCUCUCUGCAGCGGAGCAGCUGAUGCCCCUGAACGCUCUGAGCACACACAGCGGGUUCAGUCCAGUCGGUCAGCGUCUGAAAGCAGCUUCAUCCUUCAGGCUGCAGACGAGUCUUCCUGACGUUUCUGCAGGAGUGGAAACAGAUUCUGCUCUCGUUCAACAAGUCGUCGUCUCGCUCUACGACUACAAAGCGAACCGCUCUGAUGAGCUGAGCACGCGGCGCGGGUGA
rnacentral:lncRNA from 1 species